UACGUAGGGGGCAAGCGUUGUCCGGAUUUAUUGGGCGUAAAGAGCUCGUAGGCGGUUCGACAAGUCGGAUGUGAAAUCUCCACGCUCAACGUGGAGGGGCCAUUCGAAACUGUCGUGGCUUGAGUCCGGUAGGGGAGUGUGGAAUUCCAGGUGUAGCGGUGAAAUGCGCAGAUAUCAGGAGGAACACCGGUGGCGAAGGCGGGUCUCUGGGCCGAUACUGACGCUGAGGAGCGAAAGCGUGGGGAGCGAACAGG
rnacentral:rRNA from 1 species